GAUGAACGCUAGCUACAGGCUUAACACAUGCAAGUCGAGGGGAAACGACAUCGAAAGCUUGCUUCCGAUGGGCGUCGACCGGCGCACGGGUGAGUAACGCGUAUCCAACCUGCCCACCACUUGGGGAUAACCUUGCGAAAGUAAGACUAAUACCCAAUGAUAUCUCUAGAAGACAUCUGAAAGAGAUUAAAGAUUUAUCGGUGAUGGAUGGGGAUGCGUCUGAUUAGCUUGUUGGCGGGGUAACGGCCCACCAAGGCGACGAUCAGGAGGGGUUCUGAGAGGAAGGUCCCCCACAUUGGAACUGAGACACGGUCCAAACUCCUACGGGAGGCAGCAGUGAGGAAUAUUGGUCAAUGGACGAGAGUCUGAACCAGCCAAGUAGCGUGCAGGAAGACGGCCCUAUGGGUUGUAAACUGCUUUUAUAAGGGAAUAAAGUGAGUCUCGUGAGACUUUUUGCAUGUACCUUAUGAAUAAGGACCGGCUAAUUCCGUGCCAGCAGCCGCAGUAA
rnacentral:rRNA from 1 species